GCAAAAUUGUGCUUCAAACUGUUUUUUUUUUUGCCUUCUUUUGGAUCAACAGCAAAAAACAAAUGCGAGGAAGGCUGAACUUGAUGGAGGCAAGUCUCUUUUCAGCUAUGUAACUAUGUAAUGUCACUCAGUUCCACGAUGGUGACUUCCACACUGAAAAUCCACCAGAAGACCCAUAUUGGUAAAUUGCGGGAAAAGGGAUGGUUGCAUUGUUUCUACAAGAAGUGCUACUACAAGUAGUUGUUAUUACAACCUUUCAAAGUAAAUUCCUGUAAAUUGUUUACCGUCAAUAAAAAAUAACAAACAUGUUUCAUUAUCGCUGGCCUCCUAGAUGUUUUUUUCAGCA